ACAGAAUGAAAGAAAGAAAAACAAAAACAGAAGGGAACAACGAGACAGAGAACGGGCUUUCUUUCUAUCUUUCUAUCUUUCCUUCUUUCUUUCUUA
rnacentral:ribozyme from 14 species